rnacentral:tRNA from 1 species
GAUUAAAUGGCUGAAGAUAAUAGGCAGUAAAUUGUAAAUUUACGUAUAAGAAAUAGUUCUUUUUAAUCA